CUGUCCCUUCCUAUUUCAUAGUCUGCUUCUUUCCUGAUGAUAUGUUCCACCAUUCUACAUCUUUUUACUUCCAUAUGUUGGAGAUUUACAAGACCCAAAGCCAUGGACAGAGUAAAUAUAUUAGCCAAGUUGCUGCAAUUAUGAACUUGCAGCAAUUUUAGGUUUUUAAAGCUCAAAAAUCCUUGAGGAUCCUUGUUCCACACAUGUCUCAACCUAGGCAAAUCAAUUAACCGCAAUUCAUUUAACUUUCUUGUUAGCCCAAGAUGACCUUCAUCGGCAUUUAGCCCUUCCAGAUCAAAGACUUCUUCUACUGAAUCACAUCUCUCAACAGCCAGCUCUUUCA
rnacentral:misc_RNA from 1 species